GACGAACGCUGGCGGCGUGCUUAACACAUGCAAGUCGAACGGAAAGGCCCUGCUUUUGUGGGGUGCUCGAGUGGCGAACGGGUGAGUAACACGUGAGUAACCUGCCCUUGACUUUGGGAUAACUUCAGGAAACUGGGGCUAAUACCGGAUAGGAGCUCCUGCUGCAUGGUGGGGGUUGGAAAGUUUCGGCGGUUGGGGAUGGACUCGCGGCUUAUCAGCUUGUUGGUGGGGUAGUGGCUUACCAAGGCUUUGACGGGUAGCCGGCCUGAGAGGGUGACCGGCCCCAAUGGGACUGAGAGACGGGCCAGACUCCUACGGGAGGCAGCAGUGGGGAAUAUUGCACAAUGGGCGGAAGCCUGAUGCAGCAACGCCGCGUGCGGGAUGACGGCCUUCGGGUUGUAAACCGCUUUCGCCUGUGACGAAGCGUGAGUGACGGUAAUGGGUAAAGAAGCACCGGCUAACUACGUG
rnacentral:rRNA from 1 species